AGGGUUGAAAUAAACACGCGCCAAAUGCGGGUAGAUUUUCUGUUUGGCGAGUAAAUCUCAGAAGGCUAUCCGCCACACUGGCGGGUAAAUGUUUGUACCAAAAUAGUCAUGUAAUAAAAUAUCUGGCAUGAUGUCUCAGGAAAUGACUCAUGUUUGCCAGUCACAGACCAUCUCUAGUGCUCCUAGUUUCGCGGCGCUGUUCACCGUACAGGACAUCAGCUACUCGACAUCGCUCACUUGCCAUGGGUCUGCUGCUAGCUACCGUUCAUUAAAUAGCUGUUAUGUGGCGACAUUUACCUGGAGUAAGCCAACCUUUGAAACGAAAACACACAGACGAAAAGGAGGACAAAUCACAUAAAAAAAUAAAGUUUGAUGAGAAAUGGAGGUUUGGAGAUAAAGGAGUUUCAAGAGGCUGGCUACAGUAUCUGAUGCCUAGGCUGUGGUGAUGAGUUGUUCUGUGUGUCACCAGUAUGCUAAAGAUAAAAGCAGAAACAACUCAUUUGUCAUCAGAAAUAAAACAAAGCUGGAGAACAUUCAUGUCCAUGAACGCAGCAAGUGUCACAUUGCCUAUGUGUCUGUGUCCCGGACUCAAUCGUGUCCCGGAGCCUCUCCUCCUGACACCCUCUGUGACGGCGCUGAUGGCAAUGUCAGAGCAGACCAGCACGAAGUUGAAGAUACUGUUUAGGACUGUACAUGCCAUUGGCAAGAAGACGAGACCACUUUCUGACUUCAAGUGGAUGUGUGAUUUGGAUGAAAAAACAAGGAAUCGCUGUGGACAACAUAUAGAAAUGAGAAGCAGGCCAAAGAGUUUAUGCACCAUAUUGCAGAGGUGGAGAGAAACGGCAUCAGAGAGAAUAUGAAAAACACUACAUUUCUCUCCGUCAUGUCAGAUGGCUCCACAGACAGUUCUGUGAAAGAGGAGUUAGUUUGUCAGAUUCUGUCAUAAGGGCAAGAUCGAGUCAACGUUUGUUGGCAUCAAGUCGGUGAAGAAGGCAGUAAGCAAUGCUGUCAGUGCCAUCAUGGAGGGAGUGUGUGAGUGGGGGAGCAAGUUAUUCGCUCUGGGAACAGAUGGAGCUGCUGUGAUGACCGGAGCCAAGAAUGGUGUGGUCAGCCGACUGAAGGGGGACAGGGCCUACAUCAUCCGAAUCCACUGUAUGGCACACCGCCUUCAACUGACCUUUUCUGAUGCCAUCCGGUCCAACGUGAUGUUUCAGAAAGUAGAAGACCUCCUCUGUGGGCUCUACACCAGUCCACUGAACAGUGAAAACCUGGUAAACAGCUUCCAGGCUCUUGGGCACACACCACUGGUGCCCACCAGAAUUGGCAGGACCCGAUGGGUAGGACACCUAUUGCGUGCACUGGACCACGUCCUGCGAGGUUACCAGGGGUGUGUCCAGCACCUGAAACAGAUUCAAUCUGCUGAUGCCCAAAAUGUCUGAGGUGUCCAGCAGGCCAAGGCCAGGAAAUACUAUAGUACUGCGAGGGAGGCUGUUAUCCGCUUCUGUGGCUUCCUGCAUGACACACUAACACAUCUGAGCAACCUGUCUGCCUGUCUGCAGAGGUCCACCAUCACCAUAGCAGAAGCCCACAGCUCCUUGUGCUCAACACAGGCAUUACUUAAGAAGUACAAAACCAGAUUUUGGUGACACUGAACUGGAAACCCUGGUGGACCACUUCAAGCCUGUCCUGGAGACCUUUGGCAUCCAUGUUGAAAGGAUCCCUGACCAGUGGACUGUCCUGAAGGUGCUGAUGUACCAAGAGCCCCAGUCCCUGCAGAAGAUGUCCUGGUUCUGUGUCAACAGCAGCCAUCAGCAGUCCUGCCCUGGUGUGCUGGCAUUGGUUGACCUGGUCCCGUCCUUCCCUGCCUCCACAGCUGAAUGUGAAAGAGUUUUUAAUACCAUGAAACAGAUGAAAACCGAUUGGCGGUCUAACCUAAAGUCUGAUACACUGUCAGAUCUCUUUAUGGUCCAGCUGUUCUCUCCAGAGAUCAGGGAGUAUGAUCCGAUAAAAGCUGUGAUGCUGUGGCACCAGGACUCUGUCAGGAGUAGGAGGACUUCAUAGACCGUGCAAAGAGGGUGAUUGCAGUAGAGAGUGAGGAGUCUGAGGAGGUUUAAGUUUAUUAAAAUGAUUAAGCAUCUGAUAGGUUUACAAAACCUUCAAAUGUACUGUUAUGUUUGAUCCUUAAGUACUUUUAAUAGCAAAUACUAAAGUAGAAUUUUGAAUUCAAGACUUAAGUUGUAUUCAGGCUGGGAAAUUAAAUCUAGCCACAGCCAAAAUUAACCAGCGAGUAUUUCUACUCAAAGUAAAGGAUUUGUAGACCUGCUUCCCCUGUUUCCCCUUUGUAUCAGUUCUACUGCACUUCUCAUAAUUGUAUCUUACCAUUGUUGUUGCCCUGUUUUGACUUCUAUGUACUCUUAUUCAUUGUAUCUGAUAUGUUUGGUUUAUUUCAUUGUGUGCCCACUGUUUGGUGUUUUUUCACUCUGUACAGCACUUUUGGUCAACUACAGUUGUUUUUAAACGUGCUCUACAAAUAAACUGAUCAAUAUAUUAAAAUAAUUUUGUUUCAAAUUUU